GACGAACGCUGGCGGCGUGCUUAACACAUGCAAGUCGAACGGAAAGGCCCUGCUUUUGUGGGGUGCUCGAGUGGCGAACGGGUGAGUAACACGUGAGUAACCUGCCCUUGACUUUGGGAUAACUUCAGGAAACUGGGGCUAAUGCCGGAUAGGAGCUCCUGCUGCAUGGUGGGGGUUGGAAAGUUUCGGCGGGUGGGGAUGGACUCGCGGCUUAUCAGCUUGUUGGUGGGGUAGUGGCUUACCAAGGCUUUGACGGGUAGCCGGCCUGAGAGGGUGACCGGCCACAUUGGGACUGAGAUACGGCCCAGACUCCUACGGGAGGCAGCAGUGGGGAAUAUUGCACAAUGGGCGGAAGCCUGAUGCAGCAACGCCGCGUGCGGGAUGACGGCCUUCGGGUUGUAAACCGCUUUCGCCUGUGACGAAGCGUGAGUGACGGUAAUGGGUAAAGAAGCACCGGCUAACUACGUG
rnacentral:rRNA from 1 species